AUCCAUUUGACGAGUGGCAAAUAGGACGAAACGCACGUCCUAGAU
rnacentral:hammerhead_ribozyme from 1 species